rnacentral:rRNA from 1 species
AUUGAACGCUGGCGGCAGGCCUAACACAUGCAAGUCGAACGAGUGGCGGACGGGUGAGUAAUGUCUGGUAAACUGCCCGAUGGAGGGGGAUAACUACUGGAAACGGUAGCUAAUACCGCAUACCAUCGGAUGUGCCCAGAGGGUAUUAGCUAGUAGGUGGGGUAACGGCUCACCUAGGCGACGAUCCCUAGCUGGUCUGAGAGGAUGACCAGCCACACUGGGACUGAGACACGGUCCAGACUCCUACGGGAGGCAGCAGUGGGGAAUAUUGCACAAUGGGCGCAAGCCUGAUGCAGCCAUGCCGCGUGUAUGAAGAAGGCCUUCGGGUUGUAAAGUACUUUCGGCGAGGAAGCGUUAUUCGCAGAAGAAGCACCGGCUAACUCCGUGCCAGCAGGCGCGGUAAUAC